rnacentral:lncRNA from 7 species
GAUGGGAAAGACAAACAAAGCAAGAAACCAUCCUCUGAGGGGACAUCCAUUUUGCAGCUGUCUGCUACCAGACAUAGACUCCCCGACAGCAGGACAGCGGGAAGGGGUCUGUCAGUUCCACCUGGCUGAAACAGGGGCACGGUGCUGCAGGCAGCUCUGCUUGCAUCGGUGGCUCCAGCACUGCCUCGGAGCUGUCAGCCUGGGGACAGCCUGGCUGUAAUUGCAUCCUGCACCACAGGGAAGGCCGCUUCCCUCGCAGUAAGGCUGCGUGCAGCUGAGGGCGGGCAGCAUAAGGAGAUUAUCUGCCUACAGAGUUAACAGACCUCUCACACAGACUCAGCAGGUGCUGUAUUCAUCCACAGCUGCUUUUGGGGGCUGUGUCCAUCUAAGAAGUAUUUCUCAGCGAUGACUGCAGCAGGGAAAUGGCUGUGGGCUGCCUCACACAGUCCCAGCCCUGCCCUGCACGCCCCGGAGCUCACAGCCAAGUCCCUUUGGCAGCAAUGACACGGAGCUGCAGACGUGAUGCCAGACGCAGCAAUGGGACCGUGUGGGACGCAGGACGCUUGGUGCCAGCUGGGUUGGGAAGAGCUUCUCUUGCCACGAAUGCUGCAGAAAGGUUUUGGGGUCACUGGGUCAGCUGUACCUGUCAGCACACGUCUGUGAAAGUGACACCAGCACAUUCACAGCUUCAGAGGCAACUUCAUAAAUCGCUGUGCUCAGCUCAGCAAGUUAUGGGUGUUACCGCACGGACUUCCAACGAGGGAUCUUCUAGAAAUGCAUCAGAGACUGAGUUGGACACUAUGAGAGCAGUCCAUCGAGGACAGAAAGUGCUGCCCUCCAACAUCAAAUAAACAGCACCUGCACAACUGUUCAUAUUCACAGAUGAGUCCAUUUUAAGCUCAUUCCAAGAAAGCUGAGUUUGAUAGUUUAAGAGCUAAUUUAAUGUUGUGCAUGGCCAUCUAGCAAUGGAAGUUAAAAGAAGACUGAAAAUACAUAACAUUGGCAAACAAAUGCUGAAAUCUCAUAGAUUUUGCAAGACCAGAGAGGGAUCACAGUAAUAGUUCUUCAGAAGGCUGACAGGAGAAUGAACAGUCUUUUUUCGUCUCGAUAAGAAAGUAAAUAAAUAAUUUACAAAAUAAAGUGUGCAGAAAAGCAGAUCUAGACUGCUGUCAUGCCAUAAUCAAGGUUUAACCUUUAAUAUCACAAUGUAAAUGUGUACCUUGGCAAUAAAGUCAUCACC